rnacentral:rRNA from 1 species
AUGAAUAUUGCCCUCCUAUCCCGGUGGCUGUGGCGCAUCUCGCAGGGUCAGGGUGGCCUAUGGCUGGACAUUAUCCGGAAUAAAUACCUGCUCGGCCAACCCCUUGCCUUCUGCCGGAAGUCGGGAGGCUCUCAGUUCUGGCAGUCCCUCGUCCAGCUCCUCCCUGUGCUCCGCAUUGGUACCUCUAUCUCGGUAGGGUCCGGCCUCUCGACGCUCUUCUGGUUUGACCGAUGGGCCGGCGACUCCCGCUUGCGGCUCGCUUCCCCAUCCUCUUCUCUAUCUCUGUCGACCCCAUGA